AAAGUAGUUCCUCCAUCCCAAAAUUCUUGUAUCAGAUUUGUCUAGAUACGGAUGUAUCAAGUCACAUUUUAGUAUUAGAUACAUCAGUAUCUAGAUAAAUCAAAGAUAAGAAUUUUGGGACGGAGGGAGUAGUUG
rfam:Triticum aestivum genome assembly, contig: Triticum_aestivum_CS42_TGACv1_scaffold_327828_4BS